UACGUAGGGUGCGAGCGUUAAUCGGAAUUACUGGGCGUAAAGCGUGCGCAGGCGGUGAUGUAAGACCGAUGUGAAAUCCCCGGGCUUAACCUGGGAACUGCAUUGGUGACUGCAUCGCUCGAGUAUGGCAGAGGGGGGUAGAAUUCCACGUGUAGCAGUGAAAUGCGUAGAGAUGCGGAGGAACACCGAUGGCGAAGGCAGCCCCCUGGGCUAACACUGACGCUCAGGCACGAAAGCGUGGGGAGCAAACAGG
rnacentral:rRNA from 1 species